UACGAAGGGGGCUAGCGUUGCUCGGAAUCACUGGGCGUAAAAGGUGCGUAGGCGGGUCUUUAAGUCAGGGGUGAAAUCCUGGAGCUCAACUCCAGAACUGCCUUUGAUACUGAGGAUCUUGAGUUCGGGAGAGGUGAGUGGAACUGCGAGUGUAGAGGUGAAAUUCGUAGAUAUUCGCAAGAACACCAGUGGCGAAGGCGGCUCACUGGCCCGAUACUGACGCUGAGGCACGAAAGCGUGGGGAGCAAACAGGG
rnacentral:rRNA from 1 species